rnacentral:rRNA from 1 species
AAGUAGGACCUGCUCUGUGAAUUUUUUGACGGCUGCAGAAUUUUGACUGUGCUAAGGUAGCAUAAUGAUUUGCCUUUUAAUUGAAGGACGGGAUGAACGGUUUAACGAGGAAAAAUCUUUCUUAAUUUUUAUAUUAAAUUUUCUUAAAUAGUUAAAAAGCUAUUUUAAUUUAGGGGGACGAUAAGACCCUAUAAAACUUUACUUUUAAUUUUUUAAGCUAAAAUUAUGAGUAAUUUUAAUUUAAAUUAAGAGUUUCACUGGGGCGGUAAAUUUUGAAAUUAACUACAAUUUUUAUUUUAACAUUAAUAUAUGAUUUUUUUUAACCUAGUUAAAUAAUUUAGAUUAAGUUACUUUAGGGAUAACAGCACAAUAUUAUUUUAGAGUUCUUAUCGACAAAAAUGUUUAUGACCUCGAUGUUGAAUUGAAAGUUCUCUAGUGUGCAGCUUUUCUAGAAGUAAAGUCUGUU